UUGGAGGGCAAGUCUGGUGCCAGCAGCCGCGGUAAUUCCAGCUCCAAUAGCGUAUAUUAAAGUUGUUGCAGUUAAAAAGCUCGUAGUUGAAUUUCGGGAUCAAUUUAUUGGUCGUGCCAACGGUACGCACUGGUACAAUUGGUUUCUCCCUUCUGACGAAGCAUGAUGUCAUUAAUUUGAUGUCGUGGGGAAUCAGGACUGUUACUUUGAAAAAAUUAGAGUGUUUAAAGCAGGCUCUGGCUUGAAUACAUUAGCAUGGAAUAAUGAAAUAGGACGUUUGAUCUUAUUUCGUUGGUUUCUAAGAUCGACGUAAUGAUUAAUAGGGAUAGUUGGGGGCAUUAGUAUUCAAUUGUCAGAGGUGAAAUUCUUGGAUUUAUUGAAGACUAACUACUGCGAAAGCAUUUGCCAAGGAUGUUUUCAUUAAUCAAGAACGAAAGUUAGGGGAUCGAAGACGAUCAGAUACCGUCGUAGUCUUAACCAUGAACUAUGCCGACUAGGGAUCGGAUGAUGUUAAUUUUUUAAUGACUCAUUCGGCGCCUUACGGGAAAC
rnacentral:rRNA from 1 species